UGCGGAGGGCGCGAAGAAGGCGGCAACGGGGAAGACGGACUCGAGCUGCUCGGCCCUCUCUCCCUCGGCUCAUGGCGGUGCCGGAUCCGGUGUCGGGGUCGAGGGGCGCGCAGGAUCCGAGCACGGCGGCUCGUUGGUGAGCGCAGCAUCUCGAGCUCGGGCGUGUGGGCGCGUUGGUGAGCACGCUAGCGGUUGUGGCUGAGCUCGAGCCCGGGCGUGUGGGCGCAUUGUGGAAACCAGGCUCUCCUAGGCGUGUUCCUCCUCCCCAGCGGCGGUUGUGGCGAAGCCGACACCAAAGGUCACCCAGCGGCAAAGCCACAGCCACACCUGCGCUCACUCAGCUCCGGCCACUGUAGUUGGUGGACACGGGUUGUUCCUACCUUUGAUGUUUUGGCCGGAUCUGUGCUUCGGUUCUCUAGGUGUACCCCUCUCUAUUUCCUGUUCAUCUAUUGUUCCAUAUGAUCUGCACAUGUCCCAUGGACGUCACUCUGUCUUGUUCAUAGCAUAGUUGCUUUUGUUUUAUUCCUGUCGUGGAGAUGGGCACACCUUGACAUGUCCUUGUUGUAUCUGCAAAGGAAUUUUUGUUGCCUUCCUUAGCUUGUUGGCUACCUAUUUUUUUCCCUAUCAAGAAGAUAUAUAUGGCCCAAGGCUGUGUCCUUGCUCUCUGGAAA